rnacentral:lncRNA from 1 species
GUUCCAACGUAUAUGUAUGUUCGAAACUGGUCGUCGGGCACUGAUGAGGGACUUUGUGUGGUCCGAAAGCGUUUUGCCAUUGAGAAUCCUUUGCUUGUGGAGCUGUGUCUUUUUUGCCAUUAAUAUAGAAAGCAAAGUUUAUAUUUUUAUAUCUCUACUUAAAUCUUAUUUAAACAGCAAAUUAGAAGAUAGAAAACCAAAAGCUAAGCAUAUAAAGUUUUGCUGCAAUAAACAGAUGGAAUAAAAAUGCAAUUAGACACCACCAAUCAUCCUAAGCUUAGAUCAGUGACCCAACUCUGCAAUUCAUCUGUGAAUUAUAUUUUUAUAGAUAGUGAUAUAAUAUUAUCUAUACUGAAAACCAAUAAAAAUUACACAUUAUAUAAACAAUAGAAAUAUUGUACUAUAUAUAAACUGCAUAUUAUAAAUGUAUGCAGGAAAAUGCAGUUCAAUAUUUAUUUUUUCAUACUGUGAUUUAUGUAAUUUAAAAC